GGCACUGCCCGGUAGCUAAAUGCGGAAGAGAUAAGUGCUGAAAGCAUCUAAGCACGAAACUUGCCCCGAGAUGAGUUCUCCCUGACUCCUUGAGAGUCCUGAAGGAACGUUGAAGACGACGACGUUGAUAGGCCGGGUGUGUAAGCGCAGCGAUGCGUUGAGCUAACCGGUACUAAUGAACCGUGAGGCUUAACCUUACAACGCCGAAGGUGUUU
rnacentral:rRNA from 1 species